CAAUAACAAUCUGCAGGAGAAUUGUGUGAUGUUCAACUAAGUGAGAGAUGCAAAGAUGAAAGUACGCCAGUCAAAAAGAGAUACCAAAAUAGUUUUCUGGAAGAGGCAGACAUUAAACUUCAUAUUCAGAUGUCUUGUUAGGGUUGAUUCCUUUUAAGCAAUCAGAAGAAGGCUGCCCCACAGCUGAAAGGACGUGAGGAGAUUUGAAACUAAUCUGGACUCUUCUUCAGUUCCUGAGGACACAGAUUGCAGAACAGAGCUCCCCUUACCAUCUGUUUGUCAGUACCUGCAUUUCUGCCCAAGUCCUUCCCGGGCUGAAAUUUAGACUAUAUUAUCUCUUCAGCACAAACACUAAUGGGUAGAAUAGAGGUGUCAAUAAAUGGAAGCAUAUGUCACUUCUGACUCAGAGUCAAGACCCAGAAUGGAACUGACCUUGUGAACCCAAAUACAAAGCGCAAACUCAAAACAUGGAAGCAGUUGAGAAGGAUCAAUGCUUUAUCAAAUGACUUUAUCAACAUUUUCCCUUCUCCUGUAGAUGUUCACUGUUUCUUUGUGACAAUGAGAAAUCUGUAAGUGUAGAAAAAACUUGCCUGAGAGAAGUAGAGAUGCAUAAAACUAAAUAAGAAAAGUCUGGUUUUAACAAGGGGUCCUGAGGAAUAAGACAAAAAGCUAAUUUUUAUGGCAGGAUUAGUGCAGUACUAGAAAAACUGAUGCGGUAAUCUGCUUAAUGGUUGUGAUUUCC
rnacentral:lncRNA from 10 species